rnacentral:rRNA from 1 species
AUUGAACGCUGGCGGCAGGCUUAACACAUGCAAGUCGAGCGGGGGAGGUUGCUUCGGUAACUGACCUAGCGGCGGACGGGUGAGUAAUGCUUAGGAAUCUGCCUAUUAGUGGGGGACGACAUUCCGAAAGGGAUGCUAAUACCGCAUACGCCCUACGGGGGAAAGCAGGGGAUCUUCGGACCUUGCGCUAAUAGAUGAGCCUAAGUCGGAUUAGCUAGUUGGUGGGGUAAAGGCCUACCAAGGCGACGAUCUGUAGCGGGUCUGAGAGGAUGAUCCGCCACACUGGGACUGAGACACGGCCCAGACUCCUACGGGAGGCAGCAGUGGGGAACAUUGGACAAUGGGCGGAAGCCUGAUCCAGCCAUGCCGCGUGUGUGAAGAAGGCCUUUUGGUUGUAAAGCACUUUAAGCGAGGAGGAGGCUACUAGUACUAAUACUACUGGAUAGUGGACGUUACUCGCAGAAUAAGCACCGGCUAACUCUGUGCCAGCAGCCGCCGUAACAC